rnacentral:rRNA from 1 species
UACGGAGGGGGCUAGCGUUGUUCGGAAUUACUGGGCGUAAAGCGCGCGUAGGCGGCUUUGUAAGUUAGAGGUGAAAGCCCGGAGCUCAACUCCGGAACUGCCCUUAAAACUGCAUCGCUAGAAUUGUGGAGAGGUGAGUGGAAUUCCGAGUGUAGAGGUGAAAUUCGUAGAUAUUCGGAAGAACACCAGUGGCGAAGGCGACUCACUGGACACAUAUUGACGCUGAGGUGCGAAAGCGUGGGGAGCAAACAGG